ACAGUGCGUUCUGGGCCUCUCCUUCAUCUCAAACUACCUGCCCCUCCCAUGCUUAGAGAAAAUCAUAGGCCUCAAAGCUCCAAUGAAUAGGAGAUUUGCGUGGGUCUUUCUAUACACGGCUCUCACCACUUUCUGGGAGAGAUACGUGGUUUUCACGCCCUUUGUGACGUAACCUGGUUAUGUCUCCUCCCGAGGUCUAAAACAAAGGUUCCUUUCCUCUGGGCUUAUCCCUUGCCGCUCUCCUGUUUUUCCUGAAUUGCUCUGGUAUUUCUGGCUUCUCCCCACAUUGAGUCAGACCCGAGUAUGGGUUGCAGAAAGCUUCUAACGUCGUCACUAAAUACUAAAGAAUAUAGAUUUUAAUCCACUUUCACAGUGAGUUUUGUAACAAUUAGAGCUUCCUAAAAAUGAAACACACUUACUUUCGAGCAACUUUCCUCUCAGUGAGGAUAUUCUGGUACAAUCUGCACGACCACUCAUCAGUUGAAGAAACCACAGCUGUGAGAGAACAUGGUCACGAGUGUUCAUGGACAACCCGUGUGCCACUCCAGGACCCAACAGGAAAGAGACAACAUGCUUGAAUGAGAUAAUGCCAGGAUGGUGUGUUUGUUUUACAAAAGGGUUACUUACAAAGAGGCUCUGCAUGGGGCUUCCCAUGAGCCAGAAUCAACCAGAAGCCAAGUCCACACUGCCUGCCUCCCAGGACAGAGAGCAGAACGGGGAAAGGUGGAGGGUGCCCCUGGAGCAGGAAAGGACCCCAGCUCAGCCCUCAGGCACACAAAACAGCCUGAGGGAGAUGCCCAACCCUCCCCCACCAGGAGAGACUCACAAGUCCUGAUGCAGAUAAUAAGAGAAUGCACCACUCACAGCUUGACUUCAAGGUGGCAAAGAAUCCAAAGGACUCUGAAAGGUUUAACAGCUGCAUACACCUGCUGUUCAUUGAGCUAAUGGACAUGAAAUCAGAGGUGAACCACCAGAGGCCUGUCUUUUGCUUUCUUUCCUGGAAGCUGGUUGGAACAUAGAAAAUUCAAGCCAAAAGUAAUCCUUUGUAAUCUGACACACCACUUGUGUUACUUAACUAUCGUUUUGAUUCUUUUCCUGACUAAAAUAAAAAACGAAACAAAACAAAAUAAACCCAACUUUAUGAAGGUAAGACUUUUGGUCUUUUUUGUUCAUGACUUUAUUCCCAGCAACUACAACAGUGUUUGAGGCAUAGCAGGUACUCAAGAAAUACUUGUUAAGUAAAUGAAUGAACGAAUGAACCAGUGAAUGGACUGUCAGAACACACACAGGUCUUCCAAUGAUAAAUAAUAAUUCUUGGAGGGAUGAUCAAUUUAAUAAAAGAGAGGGACAACUCCUCACUCAUGUAAUCUAAUGGGUACAGUCUUCCCACCUGAGUGUGGAUACACUCGUUCACACUCGUUUGCACAGCUGCCUUCCUUCCCCUGUCCUGGUUCUAUGUCCCGGAGCCUGAAGAUACAUAGACAACCAGUCCUGUUAGAAUACCUGUCCAACAGAAACUUUAUCCUCUACCACCUUCAUCUGCAGAAAGAACUGGUGCAAAUUCUUCAGUAGAGUGCUCUCUCCACCUGUCCCCAAAGCCUUUGUGAGCAGAAGGGCUGUAAGGUACGAAUUUAUUUUUAGCUUGCCCAGAGAAAGUGUUCAAGGUGUUGGGAGGGAAGGAGGGCUCUUCUAGAUGCAUAUCAUUUGGCUACAGCUCUGUUUAGAUCAUGUAUUUUAAAUUUUGUUUAUUUUACGUUUAUUUAUUUUUGAGAG